rnacentral:rRNA from 1 species
GCUCAGGACGAACGCNGGCGGCGUGCUUAACACAUGCAAGUCGAGCGGUAAGGCCCUUCGGGGUACACGAGCGGCGAACGGGUGAGUAACACGUGGGUGAUCUGCCCUGCACUUCGGGAUAAGCCUGGGAAACUGGGUCUAAUACCGGAUACGACCUUCGGCUGCAUGGCUGGGGGUGGAAAGGUUUACUGGUGCAGGAUGGGCCCGCGGCCUAUCAGCUUGUUGGUGGGGUAAUGGCCUACCAAGGCGACGACGGGUAGCCGACCUGAGAGGGUGACCGGCCACACUGGGACUGAGACACGGCCCAGACUCCUACGGGAGGCAGCAGUGGGGAAUAUUGCACAAUGGGCGAAAGCCUGAUGCAGCGACGCCGCGUGAGGGAUGACGGCCUUCGGGUUGUAAACCUCUUUCAGCAGGGACGAAGCGUGAGUGACGGUACCUGCAGAAGAAGCACCGGCUAACUACGUGCCAGCAGCCGCGGUAAUACGUAGGGUGCAAGCGUUGUCCGGAAUUACUGGGCGUAAAGAGUUCGUAGGCGGUUUGUCGCGUCGUUUGUGAAAACUCACAGCUCAACUGUGAGCUUGCAGGCGAUACGGGCAGACUUGAGUACUGCAGGGGAGACUGGAAUUCCUGGUGUAGCGGUGAAAUGCGCAGAUAUCAGGAGGAACACCGGUGGCGAAGGCGGGUCUCUGGGCAGUAACUGACGCUGAGGAACGAAAGCGUGGGUAGCGAACAGGAUUAGAUACCCUGGUAGUCCACGCCGUAAACGGUGGGCGCUAGGUGUGGGUUCCUUCCACGGGAUCCGUGCCGUAGCUAACGCAUAAGCGCCCC